UGGGGAAUAUUGGACAAUGGGCGCAAGCCUGAUCCAGCCAUGCCGCGUGAGUGAUGAAGGCCCUAGGGUUGUAAAGCUCUUUCACCGGUGAAGAUAAUGACGGUAACCGGAGAAGAAGCCCCGGCUAACUUCGUGCCAGCAGCUGCGGUAAUACGAAGGGGGCUAGCGUUGUUCGGAUUUACUGGGCGUAAAGCGCACGUAGGCGGACUAUUAAGUCAGGGGUGAAAUCCCGGGGCUCAACCCCGGAACUGCCUUUGAUACUGGUAGUCUUGAGUUCGAGAGAGGUGAGUGGAAUUCCGAGUGUAGAGGUGAAAUUCGUAGAUAUUCGGAGGAACACCAGUGGCGAAGGCGGCUCACUGGCUCGAUACUGACGCUGAGGUGCGAAAGCGUGGGGAGCAAACAGG
rnacentral:rRNA from 1 species